CUACCAUGAUGAGAUCCAGGACUCUCUCUUUCUGAUCCGUCAGUGGAGAAAAAGGCACAAGUCUGAGUAGC